rnacentral:tRNA from 1 species
GCAGUCGUGGCCGAGUGGUUAAGGCGAUGGAUUAUAAAUCCAUUGGGGUCUCCCCGCACAGGUUCGAAUCCUGUCGACUGCG